UCAUACAUAGAGCAAAACUUUGAUAGCUCCAAAUUACUAAUAAGCAACAAUCUUCAUUGGACUCCAUUGGAAUGUAACCAAAAAGUAUUUACAGCAAACACUGUCUAAAAUAUUCGUCUAAUGCAUAAAAACAUAAUAGGCUCACACGCCUUAAUAUAAUAAACGAAAAACAUAUGUAAAAUGUUAUUAUAUAUAGUCGAUCUUGCAGCCUCUUUCUUCAUCUCCGCAGUGUUUCCACUUCCUCAAAACUAUAUUUGGACUUGCUGCACAAGGUGAAACAAUUUUAAAAAAUGAAUUGGGUUCCUACAAUGAGUUAUCAGACACUAAUUCUGAUUUUGACAUAGAUCUAACAGAAUACAAAAAUAAGUUUAAAUAUUUCAUUGCAUAUGAGUGAAAGUCCUUUGCGUUCCAGCCCAUUAAAUACUGGUUCUUGUCAAACUUUCAAAUGAAAAAAAUAUAAAGCUUACCCCAACUAAAGCAUGUCAGCCUAAAAGAUCAAUUGCAAGCUUGUUGCAUUCUAUCAAAAUACGACUGAACAUCUACCGCAAUCUCAUCAUCAUAUUCAUUGAAACCUAAGAAAACAAAUAAAAGGAAGAAAAAUUAUUUACUGGAACACCAAUUUGUAACAAAACAAAGUAAACAUGUAAUAAGUGUAGAAUGAUUUACCUUCUUGCCCACAAAGUCAAUCUAUAGUACAUAACUUCGCCUCCGCAUUUGCAGGUUAAAUAGAACUUGUAUAUUUUUCAAUAAUACGACCUCCAAUGCUAAAGGUAGAUUCAGAGGCUACUGUGGUAAUAGGUAUUCUCAAGACGUCCCUUGCCAUCAAUGAGAGUUCGGAAUAUCUUCGUUUAUUUUCCUUCCAAUAGGCAAGUACAUCCAAAUCUGAAUUUACUUUACGGUCAAGAUUGGGCUCCUCCAAGUACAAAUCCAGUUGUGUUUUAUUUUUACCACACCCCAACUGAGUAUCAAACGUAUCGAACUCCUCAAGUUCAUCCCUCAUUUCAUUACUAGUUUUCCCCGACAAGGAAAUUGUAGUCAAAGGUACAUAGAAUUCUUUGAAUAACAAAUGUAAAUGAUCUGCAACGACUUUAACAUUUGCUUCAAAAGUCUCAUAAAUCAAUUUUAGAGAAGAUAAACUUCACAAACUUAAGCUUAUAUCGAGGAUCAAGAACAAUGGCUAGUGAUAAAAUCAUACGGUAAGACUUUCAAAUUUUUUUUUGAAUUUCUUUAACAUCGAUGUAGCCAUUUCACUCAUAACUGGAUCAAAACUAUCUUUUUCGUCCUUUAAUAACUUCUAAAUUUUUCACACGUUAUGUAGAUACAAAUUAGCAAUUGGAUAUCGACUUUCAGAGGACACUAUAGUAAUGUUAUAAAAUGGUUUCAAAAAUUGAGCAAUCGUCUCUACCCUUUUCCAUUCCUCCUCAGAAAGACCAUGUUUAAAAUCAGUAUCAAUUAAUUUAUAUUGAAUAUAAGCUUGUUGGUAGAGGAUUGCACUUUCAAGCAUCAGAUAAGUGAAAUUCCAACGAAUUGCCAUGCAUGUCUUGACGAAGCUUUUUUAAACACGGCAACCCAAGAUUUUUGAUGCAUUCCACAAACUUUAAGAUUCUUUCUUCUGAAUGUUUAAUAUUCUUAACACCUUCUCUAAUCUUUACAAUAGCUACAUCAGCUUUUUCCAAUCCCGCCUUCACAAUUAAAUUCAAGAUGUGGUUUCCACAACGAACAUAAAAGAACUUUCCACCACAAACUAGUGUUUGCAUCAAAGAUAAGUGUUCUUUUAAAUUAGCUACCACACCCUUAUUACAAGUAGCGUUAUCCAAAGUAAGAGAGAAGAUCUUUUUUACAAUACCCCAUUCCUUAACUAACUCAAUUAGUAAAGUACCCAAAACAACACCAGAAUGUGGAGGGGCACAUGGCGGAAAAUAAACACUAUUUUUUUAAGAAUCCAACUCAAAUCAACAUAAUGAGCAGUUAAACACAUAUAUCCAUUUGACGCUAAAAAAGUCCACAUGUCUGAAGUCAAACACACUCUCCUAGGAAUCACUGUGAGCUCAUUUUUUAGAUAUUAUUUUUCCCUAUCAUACAUCUUCAAAAAAUCAGGCUUGGCAGUAUUUCUUGAAAUUGUUUUCACAGUUGAGUUUAAGUAUAAAUGGAUAUAUCUAUUUCCUUUAUGUUCGGCAAAGCUAAAAGGAUAGUUAUGCUUGAGAAUGGCCACAGAUACUUUCUCAUGAUAAAAUGUUUGAUCAAUUGGCUCAAUCCUAUGCUCUUGUCCUUUGUCUAAGUGUGAACUAAUAUGUCGUUUCAAAUUUGAAGUUCCAGAAUUAGAGUUUGCUAUAAAGAUCUUCUUACAUACCUUACAUUGAACUUUUAACCUUUCAUUACUUGUAGCACGAGGCAUUUUUAGAAAACUUUUCCAAACAUCAGAAGUCGGUUUUUUUGCUAGUUUUGUAGGGACUGAUGAACUAAUCUCACAAGGUUCCUCAUAAACGUCUUCAUUAGCCUCCAUUGACAUCUUUUCCUAACAUAAAUAACAAUUUCAUAUACAAACGACAAACCAAAAGAGAUGCCAAAAACAUGAAAUUCAACAUUCUAUAAAACAAAAAAUCCAAACAUGAAAUUCAAUAUUCUAUAUAAAAAAAAAAUUCAAACUGUAAACUACAUUCACAAUUCUUAUAAAUAAGGAAUCAUUUACCACAAUAAAUUCAGAAACAAGAAAGAGGAUUAAUCACAAACCCUAACCCUAAAUUUCAAAGAAAAGAAAAAGAAGAGAAAGAGGGAAGAUGAGGAAAAAGGAUUCAGGGGAGGAGAAAUUGAGAGACUUACCAGAUUAUCUUUGUAACUGUGAUUCGUGAAGAAACAAUGAAAUUAUUGCUGAAAAAUCGCUUCUAAAAUUUUGAAAACAGUCGUUUCUUUGUAAGUUUGGAGAAAAAUCUGCAAUACCCGU
rnacentral:lncRNA from 1 species